rnacentral:rRNA from 1 species
AUACAGAGGGUGCAAGCGUUAAUCGGAUUUACUGGGCGUAAAGCGCGCGUAGGUGGCUAAUUAAGUCAAAUGUGAAAUCCCCGAGCUUAACUUGGGACUUGCAUUCGAUACUGGUUAGCUAGAGUAUGGGAGAGGAUGGUAGAAUUCCAGGUGUAGCGGUGAAAUGCGUAGAGAUCUGGAGGAAUACCGAUGGCGAAGGCAGCCAUCUGGCCUAAUACUGACACUGAGGUGCGAAAGCAUGGGGAGCAAACAGGAUUAGAUACCCUGGUAGUCCAUGCCGUAAACGAUGUCUACUAGCCGUUGGGGCCCUUGAGGCUUUAGUGGCGCAGCUAACGCGAUAAGUAGACCGCCUGGGGAGUACGGUCGCAAGACUAAAACUCAAAUGAAUUGACGGGG